rnacentral:rRNA from 1 species
ACCCAAACAGGGGAUUGCCCCAGUAACGGCGAGUGAAGCGCAACAGCUCAAAUUUGAAAUCUGGCUCUCGGGCCCGAGGUUGUAAUUUGUAGAGGAUGCUUUUGGUGAGGUGCCUUCCGAGUUCCCUGGAACGGGACGCCAUAGAGGGUGAGAGCCCCGUCUGGUUGGACACCGAUCCUCUGUAAAGCUCCUUCGACGAGUCGAGUAGUUUGGGAAUGCUGCUCUAAAUGGGAGGUAUAUGUCUUCUAAAGCUAAAUACCGGCCAGAGACCGAUAGCGCACAAGUAGAGUGAUCGAAAGAUGAAAAGAACUUUGAAAAGAGAGUUAAACAGUACGUGAAAUUGUUGAAAGGGAAGCGCUUGUGACCAGACUUGGGCUUGGUUGAUCAUCCGGGGUUCUCCCCGCUGCACUCUUCCGGCCCAGGCCAGCAUCAGUUCGCCCUGGGGGACAAAGGCUUCGGGAAUGUGGCUCUCUCCGGGGAGUGUUAUAGCCCGUUGCGUAAUACCCUGUGGCGGACUGAGGUUCGCGCAUUCGCAAGGAUGCUGGCGUAAUGGUCAUCAGUGACCCGUCUUGAAACACGGACCAAGGAGUCGUCUUCGUAUGCGAGUGUUCGGGUGUCAAACCCCUACGCGAAAUGAAAGUGAACGCAGGCGAGAGCUUCGGCGCAUCAUCGACCGAUCCUGAUGUUAUCGGAUGGAUUUGAGUAAGAGCAUACGGGGCCGGACCCGAAAGAAGGUGAACUAUGCCUGUGUAGCGCGAAGCCAGAGGAAACUCUGGUGGAAGCUCGCAGCGGUUCUGACGUGCAAAUCGAUCGUCAAACAUGGGCAUGGGGGCGAAAGACUAAUCGAACCUUCUAGUAGCUG